UUCUAUUUAUUUGGGGCUGUGGGUCCCAGGAGGGCUCUCUAGGACCCAGGCAACCCCCUGGUUGUACUGAACGGGGACGCUGUGCGUCAGAGAAGGGAAGCGAUGAGCUCGAGACCACACGGCGAGCAGCACCAAAGCUGGGACCACGUCGGGGUCUGAGGCAGGGCUGCCUGCGUCACUGCGGAUGUCAGCACAGCAGUCCCGGGAGCGCCCUGUUCCAUGCCUCCCACCCCCAGCUCUUGGGUCAGACAGCCCUGAGCCUGGCUCUGUCACCCCAGGCAGUGUGACCUUGAAGACAUCAUAGCGUCUCUCAGACUCAGUGUCCUCUUCUGCACAUUGAGGGUACUAAUGCUGACCUUACAGGAUAGCAGGUGGCUUCCACGAAAUGCUGGAGUGCGCAAGGCCCAUCACGAUCCUGGCACACGAGGCAUGUGGGAUCCUAGCUCCCCAACCAGAGAUCGAACCUGCACCCCCUGCACUGGAAGGGGAAGUCUUCACCACUGGACCACCAGGGAAGUCCCAGGAUUUGCUUCCUUUUUAAGGCUGAAUAAUAUUCUGUUGUAUGCAUAUACUACAUUCUGUUGAUCCAUUCAUUCGUCAAUGGGCUCCACAUAGAAUUUUAAAGAAAUAAAUAAAAAUA